rnacentral:rRNA from 1 species
UACGUAGGGUGCGAGCGUUGUCCGGAAUUACUGGGCGUAAAGGGCUCGUAGGUGGCCAACUAAGUCGGACGUGAAAUCCCUCGGCGUUAACCGAGGAACUGCCCUCCAAACUGCUUUGCUUGAGGCCGGGAGAGGUAAGUGGAAUUCCCAGUGUAGCGGUGAAAUGCGUAGAUAUUGGGAGGAACACCAGUGGCGAAGGCGGCUUACUGGACCGGUUCUGACGCUGAGGCGCGAAAGCGUGGGGAGCAAACGGG